rnacentral:rRNA from 1 species
AACGUAGGAGACAAACGUUAUCCGGAGUUACUGGGCGUAAAGGGCGUGCAGGCGGUCAUCUAAGUCUGGCGUGAAAUCUGUCGGCUUAACCGGGAGAGGUCGUCGGAAACUGGGUGACUAGAGGACGGUAGAGGCGUGUGGAAUUCCGGGUGUAGUGGUGAAAUGCGUAGAUAUCCGGAGGAACACCAGUGGCGAAGGCGACACGCUGGGCCGUACCUGACGCUGAGACGCGACAGCAUGGGGAGCGAACGGG